rnacentral:rRNA from 1 species
CAGCAGCCGCGGUAAUACCAGCACCUCGAGUGGUCAGGAGGUUUAUUGGGCCUAAAGCAUCCGUAGCCGGUUGCAUAAGUUUUCGGUUAAAUCUAUGCGCUUAACGUAUAGGCCGCCGAAAAUACUGUGCAGCUAGGGAGUGGGAGAGGUACACGGUACUCGAUAGGAAGGGGUAAAAUCCUUUGAUCUAUUGAUGACCACCUGUGGCGAAGGCGGUGUACCAGAACACGUUCGACGGUGAGGGAUGAAAGCUGGGGGAGCAAACCGGAUUAGAUACCCCUGUAGUCCCUGUCUCUUAUAC